rnacentral:misc_RNA from 1 species
AAGUCGUAACAAGGUUUCCGUAGGUGAACCUGCGGAAGGAUCAUUACAAAUAAAGCUGGAGGAAGUGGGGUCUUGAUCUGUAAGUGGUAGAGCGACAGUCCGGCUGCCUCCCGAAAUGUCUUUACAUGUCCCCCCACAGCCUGAAGGCCGAAUUACAACCCUGAUUAUCUCCUUGUUGCUUUGGGGUGCUCAAGUGCCCCAGAGGACCCAACUCUCUUGCAUUUUAGUGACGUCUGAGUACUAUAUAAUAUUUUAAAA